AGUGGAAUUACUGGGUCAAAGGGUAUGAACAUUUUUAAGGCUCUUGAUACAUAUUAUCAAAUUGCUUUCCAAAAGGUUGUACCAGUUUAUACUCCUACCAGUAGU
rnacentral:pre_miRNA from 1 species